rnacentral:rRNA from 1 species
UUGAACGCUGGCGGAAUGCUUUACACAUGCAAGUCGAGCGGCAGCGCGGGGGCAACCCUGGCGGCGAGCGGCGAACGGGUGAGUAAUGUAUCGGAACGUACCCUGUCGUGGGGGAUAACACAGCGAAAGCUGUGCUAAUACCGCAUACGACCUGAGGGUGAAAGCGGGGGAUCGCAAGACCUCGCGCGAUAGGAGCGGCCGAUAUCGGAUUAGCUUGUUGGUGAGGUAAAGGCUCACCAAGGCGACGAUCCGUAGCGGGUCUGAGAGGAUGAUCAGCCACACUGGAACUGAGACACGGUCCAGACUCCUACGGGAGGCAGCAGUGGGGAAUUUUGGACAAUGGGGGAAACCCUGAUCCAGCCAUUCCGCGUGAGUGAAGAAGGCCUUCGGGUUGUAAGGCUCUUUCAGGAGGGAAGAAACGGUUGCGGCUAAUACCCGCGACUAAUGACGGUACCUUCAGAAGAAGCACCGGCUAACUACGU